rnacentral:rRNA from 1 species
GCAGUCGACGGUAACAGGAAGCAGCUUGCUGCUUCGCUGACGAGUGGCGGACGGGUGAGUAAUGUCUGGGAAACUGCCUGAUGGAGGGGGAUAACUACUGGAAACGGUAGCUAAUACCGCAUAACGUCGCAAGACCAAAGAGGGGGACCUUCGGGCCUCUUGCCAUCGGAUGUGCCCAGAUGGGAUUAGCUAGUAGGUGGGGUAACGGCUCACCUAGGCGACGAUCCCUAGCUGGUCUGAGAGGAUGACCAGCCACACUGGAACUGAGACACGGUCCAGACUCCUACGGGAGGCAGCAGUGGGGAAUAUUGCACAAUGGGCGCAAGCCUGAUGCAGCCAUGCCGCGUGUAUGAAGAAGGCCUUCGGGUUGUAAAGUACUUUCAGCGGGGAGGAAGGCGAUGAGGUUAAUAACCUUGUCGAUUGACGUUACCCGCAGAAGAAGCACCGGCUAACUCCGUGCCAGCAGCCGCGGUAAUACGGAGGGUGCAAGCGUUAAUCGGAAUUACUGGGCGUAAAGCGCACGCAGGCGGUCUGUCAAGUCGGAUGUGAAAUCCCCGGGCUCAACCUGGGAACUGCAUUCGAAACUGGCAGGCUAGAGUCUUGUAGAGGGGGGUAGAAUUCCAGGUGUAGCGGUG